rnacentral:rRNA from 1 species
AGCAGCCGCGGUAAUUCCAGCUCCAAUAGCGUAUAUUAAAGUUGUUGCAGUUAAAAAGCUCGUAGUUGAACUUCAGGCCUGUCCAGAUGGUCCGCCUUAAUUGGUGUGUACUGUCCUUGGGUGGGUCCUACCUUCUGGCGAAGCGGCAUGGCCUUAGUUGGUUGUGUUGGGGAACCAGGACUUUUACUGUGAAAAAAAUUAGAGUGUUCAAAGCAGGCAUAUAUGCUCGAAUACAUUAGCAUGGAAUAAUGGAAUAGGACGAUGGUUCUAUUUUGUUGGUUCUAGGACCGUUGUAAUGAUUAAUAGGGAUAGUUGGGGGCAUUAGUAUUCAAUUGUCAGAGGUGAAAUUCUUGGAUUUAUUGAAGACUAACUACUGCGAAAGCAUUUGCCAAGGAUGUUUUCAUUAAUCAAGAACGAAAGUUAGGGGAUCGAAGACGAUCAGAUACCGUCGUAGUCUUAACCAUAAACUAUGCCGACUAGGAAUCGGGCGAUGUUGACAAAAUGACUCGCUC